GACGAACGCUGGCGGCGUGCUUAACACAUGCAAGUCGAGCGGAAAACUUCGGUUUUCAGCGGCGGACGGGUGAGUAACACGUGGGCAACCUGCCUCACAAUGAGGGAUAGCCUUCCGAAAGGAAGAUUAAUACCUCAUAACACAAGAGAAACGCAUGUUUCUCUUGCCAAAGAAUUUCGUUGUGAGAUGGGCCCGCGGCGCAUUAGCUUGUUGGUGAGGUAACGGCUCACCAAGGCUUCGAUGCGUAGCCGACCUGAGAGGGUGAUCGGCCACAUUGGAACUGAGACACGGUCCAGACUCCUACGGGAGGCAGCAGUGGGGAAUAUUGCACAAUGGAGGAAACUCUGAUGCAGCAACGCCGCGUGAGUGAUGAAGGUCUUCGGAUUGUAAAGCUCUGUCUUCUGGGACGAUAAUGACGGUACCAGAGGAGGAAGCCACGGCUAACUACGUGCCAGCCGCCGCCGUAA
rnacentral:rRNA from 1 species